rnacentral:rRNA from 1 species
UGGGGAAUAUUGCACAAUGGGCGCAAGCCUGAUGCAGCCAUGCCGCGUGUGUGAAGAAGGCCUUCGGGUUGUAAAGCACUUUCAGCGAGGAGGAAGGUGGUGGACUUAAUACGUUCAUCAAUUGACGUUACUCGCAGAAGAAGCACCGGCUAACUCCGUGCCAGCAGCCGCGGUAAUACGGAGGGUGCAAGCGUUAAUCGGAAUUACUGGGCGUAAAGCGCACGCAGGCGGUUUGUUAAGUCAGAUGUGAAAUCCCCGGGCUCAACCUGGGAACUGCAUUUGAAACUGGCAAGCUAGAGUCUCGUAGAGGGGGGUAGAAUUCCAGGUGUAGCGGUGAAAUGCGUAGAGAUCUGGAGGAAUACCGGUGGCGAAGGCGGCCCCCCUGGACG